rnacentral:sRNA from 1 species
UCGAGCGGCAAAUACCGCCCAUUCACGAUGAUAAAGGGCAUUUGGCAUUUGCAUUUUCAUCGUUGUUACUUAAUAAAGAGAGAGACAGUCGACUUUCAAGAGGGAACCCUCCUCGGUUAGGGUUAGGGUAGUCCAUGCUCGACACUUAAUUCGUCCGGCAAUCACCCGAGCAGUCAUUAUCUUUAUUGAUUCUGUAGAUUUUCUUAUGAAAGCACUUUAUAGCGGUUCGGGCAAACUAUUUCACAUUUUGUUUAAACAUUGCCCAAGAGCUUCAAAUGAGAUUUUGGAAGCAAGUUCCUGGAACGAGAAUCUAAUCUAAUUUAUAUAUCCAAUUCGGUACGAUACGGUGCCACUAUCAAAAUGUUUAUCACAAAAGAGUAACAAACACCAUAACCAAAUCGUUAUAUUUUUGGAAAUUUGUUAAUCGCUUUUACAUUACCUAUGUGUUUGUAUUUUAUGUGCACCAUAAAAUGCUUUACACUGCACGGAAAACGAAGGGCUACCGCAGUUUCCUCUUUCGAUAUUAAUUCCUCAAUUUGUGCAAACUACUUAAAGUUGGCAAACUCCCGACGGGCUUUUAAAGAUCUUCCCGUGGAGUCCCCGGAAUUCGCUGGACUGAGUGCUGGGCAAAUUCCCCGAAGAAUGUGCGUGAGAAGUGCAGGCCAAACAAGCGGAGCAGGCAACUAAAAACAAAACGCACAACAGGGAGCUGGGCCGAAAGACGAGAAAAAGGCUCAGAACGAGUACCAAUGCAGCUGGCCAGUUGGGAAUUUUCGCCGGUGGAGGAGGCGAAACUCGGCGGAGCAUAAAGGCCAAAGCGCUGCCUAAGAAAAGAAAUUAUUUGCUUAAGCGACGGCAAAGGACCUUGUCCGGAGCUUCCUUUUUCCCGGAACAAAGCACACUCACCCACCCAACCACCCACACACACCCACACACACAGAGAGGCAGACAAAGAACAACAAGAAUGAAAAUAAGUAGAAUGAAAACAGCAGGAAGGAACAAAAAUGAACAGAAAAUGUAAAGUGAGUGGGCCAGAAAUAUUAAACUUUUAUGCACGAAAAUUUUUAAGUGUAUGUCCGGCGGGAAAAAUUGUUACUGUUAAUUUAUAAAUAAGGUGGAGUUGUUAUUGUGGGCUUCUGACGGAAUGUCCGCCCAGUUGGACCCUUCCGAGCUUCCGAAACCCCACGAUGGAACUCCUUUGUAACCCACCAGGAGCAGGAGCAGGACCAGGACCAGGACAUCCACCACCAUAGCCACAUCCCCGGCUAUUUGUUUUCACUUCAAUUUAUUUGCUUUCUUGCGCACAUUUUCACUCCUUAGUCCUUGUUUACUCCUUUCAUCCAACCCAAUACCAUCUUUUCCCCCACUUCGUCUUCACCCUUUUUUUUUGUGGAUCUGCAACCCUCUGAGCUCUUUAGCCCCUCUUUUCUUUGGCCAUUUCUUUUGCCGUUUAUUAUGAGGCUUUUCCUUUGGUCGGCCCCGGAUCGCCUUGCAACUUGAUUCAAUUAAGUUGCCUGAUUAUUUUAGCUACAAAAAAAUGAUACCAAAAAAAGGCCACAAGGCCCAACUCUUUUCCGCCCCUCUUCGGUUAGCAAUUUUAAUUUUUUAAUAAAGGGCAUGUGUAAGGCGAGAGCUCUACAAGUGGGCCAUCUUGUGGUUUCUGGUGCCCUAUUGUAUUGGUUCAUCAUCAUCUUGGGGUGGAAGGGGUCGGCUCAAGUUCGUGGCGAGUCAACAACUGAUCCGGGGUUAAGAAAAGGUCAACAGCAGGCUGUUCACUUUUCAACGGGUAUUUCUGAGAAGAGGUCCUUCGCAAUGUGAAGUGUAACUGUGCAUAUAGAAAAAGGAUGGGCUUAAAAGCAUUCCUAACAGUAUAUAUUUUCGUAGGAUUAUUCAAAUCAUCAACUCAUUCCAAUUAAUAAGUUUUCUAAAUUUAAAUCAAAUAUUUUAGUUAAGUUAGUUUGAAAUAUUUAAAAAUCCUAAAUAUGUUCUGCGCAAAUGCAGUUUGCGCAUCUAACAAAGCGAUAAAUUAGUACUUAAGCUGCCACACUAACAGCAUGAAAUCUGAACUGCUGGGAUACUGCCUGAAAAUGAAAAACUUGGCUUUAUCUCUUUUGUGCACUAAAUGCUCUUGGCCUUUAUUCGACUCGUCUCGUCUCGUCAGUAGAAAAGCCUGAACAACAUUAAUCAGGCUUACCUUGUCGUGUAUUUUUCCCCACCUACAAACAACCCACACAUGUCUGACUACCAUGGAUGAAAGGAAUUAUCCGGAGGGCCGAACAACGAGUAGCAACAGCUGCCACAUUGACGAUGCUUUAAGUGCAAAUGCAAUUUAUUUGCAACAAGCACUUGCUGCACGAACUAUGCAACAAUGGCUGGCCAGGAAUUGAGAUUGGAAGUGCCGAGGAACAAUUUGCCCAUAACUUCCGACUUCCACACACCAUUCUCUACAAUACCAUAUCUUUUCUGCUCCGGACUGACGACAUUAGUGAAUGUUAAGUGAUGGGCAGAACUGCAGUUUGGCAAAAGGACCUCGGACCCAGCUUCUGAAUACCUGAAAAUCACUCGACCAGGAGCAAGUUGAAUCCUUCCAGGAUUCUAGUCUGAAUAUUCGCUACAUAUUCACUCGCUCGAAGAAUGCCAGUCAACGUUGACAAUCGACUUUUAUUGCUGUUGAAAAGGACUAGUAGCAAGCAAAAAAAAAUAGGAAAAACAAGAGAUCGGAACAAAUCGGAACGAAGCGACAAAGAAACGCAUGAAUGCACUGAAAGAAAAAUAUACAAAAAUUAUACAUUCUUCAUUAUGUGUCUUGAUACAAAGACAUAAGUUUAAACCCAUUUAUGGUUAUGAAAACACUCUAAGAGUACUACCAUUGCACAAAAUAAAGGAUGUUUAUAUAUUUGAAAUAUAUAAAUGAUUUUUCUCAAUGUGCCCAACGACUUUGUCAACUCCCAGUUAUUACGUUUUGUUUAACAUUUCAGCAAAUUACACUGCAUUGUCUAGAGCUCAACUCCAGAGUGAAGUUGAAGUCACCGUUUUCUUUGGAGAUUUCCCCAUUCGACAGCUUUUCUGACAUUUUUUCCUUUUUUUUCUCUUUUUUGCUUCCUUUUCGACGUACUGACCUCUACCGGAUUUCGAAGGGAACUUGUGCAAUUGCAUAAGCACAAUUUCCGGUUAGCACUAAGAAAAUAUCUGCAGCAGAAAAGCAAAUGGAGAUGUUACAGGGUCAGGAUUUGAAGUUUGCUUGCUCUAUGUAAAUUACACUUGUAAUACGAUUUUUAGGAAAUGAAACACAAGAGGCGAAAGAUAUUCAGAUGAUUAAAACUUGAUAUCAUAAAUAAUUUUAAGAUAUACUUUUAGUAAAGAUACAUAUUUACCAAGAUAGUUUGAAGAUGCUUCAUUAAGAUCGUUAUCAGUUUAUGCAACUUUAGUACAUAGCAAAUAUUUUCAAGAAGUAUGUUCAAUUUUCUUUACCCCUUUUAUUGAAACCAUAUUUAAGAACAAAUCUUUACACUUUUAUCUCCCCGCCCGAAAUACUUUUGUAUCUUUCUCUGGCAAGGACAUCUAAAAGCAUGCUGCACUAUUUUUGAAGCCACUGACAGGAAAUUGAAAAAGUGCGGGGCGUGAACGGAAAGUUCAGGAAAUAAGAAAAAAGAAAUAGCUUUCCCUUAAUUAAGUGCGUGUGUCCGGGUGUCCAGGGUGACCAGUCGCCCACAAGUAAACAACGAAUGCAUGAAUUCACCGGUCUCAAGGUAAAGAACCGGGGUCUAAGUAGCCUGGAAAACCACCGCGGUGGUAUUUGCGGUGGUUUUGCCGCCGACCAGUGGGUCAGAUGGUCAGUGGCCAGGAAUUGUUUCGUGUCCAUUUCGCUGCGCUUGACUUCGCUGCUCGACGACCUCCGACCUCCAACCUCCAACCUACUAUUUCCAACCUCUCGGGGAGUUCAACAACAUUACGCCACACAGUUGAACAAUUUUUUCUUCGCGUUUCGUUUGCUUUGCGUUUCCAACUGCUUCUGCUGGUGCUUCUGGCCAAGUUCACAUUGUAAUCCAUCCGGGGAAUAAUUAUUGUGUACAUAUUAAUAUAGAAACCGGGAAAGCCAAGAGGGUUUAUCGUUUAGCCGCGAUGGACGGCAUUAUGAUGCCCCUCGAAAGUAAAUGGAAAAUGGAUGGUCUAUAAAUUCUCGCCCUUGGUUUUCAAAUUGCGCAAAAAGGUUGUUUAUGUGAGCCCCAAAGAGGUGUACGAAUGGGGGCUCUUUAUGGAUUUUGUUAUGGUUAUGGGGUUUAAGUAAUCGGGUUGAUUUUAUACUGAAUUAUGCCUCAUCAUUUAAGAUAUGAAAAAUGCUUUAAAGCCUAAAGAGUUAAGUGAAAAGUAUAAAUGCAAAAACUGUAGAGCCUCGAAUUUAUGACUGGAAUAGACAACUUACAGCGUCAUACAUUUUCUCAUAUUCUCACUCGGUUGCUGUAAAGCGGAUCCUUUAGCCCUCUAAUCCAUUAUCCAAAUCCAAGGCUGGUUGUAAGCCAUUAUGAACUCCAACUCAUUAACCGGUUUUAAAGGUCCAACUUUAUGCACACACGCACACUCAGCAGCGGAUUAAGCUGCCAGGUUUAUGCCACUAAAUUGCGUCGUUGUCGAGCAUAAUUUAUGCAUUAAAAUUGCAUGCAACGGAGAAGUUGACUCCAAACUUGGAUCGUACCGUGCUGCAAAUUAAAUCUAAUUAUGUGCGGCCAGCAGCAGGAGACGGGGCAACAAAAAAAAAAAAAUAGAAAAGGGAACAAGUACACAGCGACUGGUGAAAGGGGUUUUUGGCCGGGUUCGGACAUGGCUUUCUUUUUGCCAAACUGACCCGCACAAAUGCGUCUAUUGACUGAAACAAUGCAGACAAAAGCGACGCAGUAACGGAGCCGGGAUCAUAAAGCGGGAGUCGGGAACGGGAGCUAUUGCACCUGGAGGUAAACCAGGUGAAACAGGUGCACCAAGCUGCUUCCCAAUGGAAUUGGCUUCGUUGAGUGAUGAAGGCGGCGGUGGCGCUGGCGGAAAGGUUAAUAAACAAAAGAGCUAAGCUACACUGCAAACAAAAACGUUAUCGAAUCCCUAGAUUAGCUUUCAGGAUAUAUUGUUGCUAUAAUAUAAAUCUAUACUUCUUUAACUCAGAUCUCUAAGCUCUAAGUUUAAUGAGUAAUAAGCUACAAAAACAUGUGAUUCAAAUAAGACCAUAUUACUUUCAUAAAAACGUUUUUGUACACAUGUGUAUAAACGUGAGGGUACUAUAAAAACUAUUUAAAAGGUAAAAAAAAAACCUUUGAAUAAAAAUGUAUGGUAACUAAUAAUGUUAAGUUAUUUUGCAAUCUCCCCAUUCCGCAGUGCAAAAGGUAGAAAAAUUGCCUGAGCUCGGCUUGCGCCUGAAUUGAGCUCAUGAAUGGAUUGCCAAGAGGGUUUACCAAAGGGAACGAGGCGAGCGGAAAAGCGGUCAACUUAUGGCUUAGACGCAUGGCAAAAAUCCAUAUUUAUAUAUAUGAAUGGAACGUGGACAGGGACAUUGAAGUGGUCAGGGUGGUGGAUAGUCCUGUAAAGUGGAUUCCGAGCACUAGGUGCUGGCGACAAGCGAACCAGACCGGAUCGGGUUUGGGGACUGGGAGCUGGGUACUGGGUACUGGGGACCCGGUUACUUAUGCUUCAAUGGAGCCCUGAAACUCGGUGUACGAGUAUGUGCCGCAAUUGCGGUAAAAUAUGUUUGCACAAAAGGAAAUCGCCAAAGCCACGUGUGCAGGAAAUGCUGAAUUUGUCUGCUUGGCGCGCUAAAACAAAGCCCGACUCGAAUAACCGGCAAUUCCCGGAAACGCAUUCGAUUGGAUGGGCAGAGAUUUCCAUUCGUUGGGGCCAAGAGUUUUAGUCCUCGACGAAUGACAAAGGAUGAAUGUUUUAGCAAUGCCUUAUAAAUACACUUAUAAUUAUAUAAAACACUUAAUGGACUAUUGAAAGAUUACCCAGAUUAAACAAAUUAAGCCAGAUGGCUUUAGAUUUUGAGACAUGAAUCCAAUGUGUCAGUAGACAGAUAUUUCUUUUGAUUGUUUUAAUAUGCUCAAUUUUAGUUAAUAAGAAAUAUUUGUAGCAAAACAUAGUUAAGAGCCCAGUUCUGGGAACAGGCUGGCAAAUGUGCGGCGUUUUUUCCGGGUAUUAUUGCAAUAUUGCUGCCAGUGCGCCAAAAACUGUGCUAUCCCGGGCUAGAUGGCAAACUACGGCGGCACUUCCGCCGCCACUGCCACUGGCACUCCGGUGUCUCUCGCCUUCCUGCUCAUCGGCGUCUGGACUGGACUUUGGGGAAUAUUAUUGAAAAGUUUUACCGCAAGCUGUGCCGGAGCGGAGCGAGUUGGAGCGGAGUGGAGCUCACUGCAAAAACAACCAACGUAUUGUUCGCCAGUGGAUGGUAUAAAACCCACCCACCCACUCACACCCACAUCCACGCCCAGCAAAAAGAUUCGAAUAAAAAAUCUGAAAAAAGUGGGGAAUAAUAAAAGGAGAAGAAGAAAGCGA